AUUGAACGCUGGCGGCAUGCUUUACACAUGCAAGUCGGACGGUAACAGGCCUUCGGGUGCUGACGAGUGGCGAACGGGCGAGUAAUGCAUCGGAACGUACCCAGCGGUGGGGGAUAACGCAGCGAAAGCUGUCUUAAUACCGCACGUGAUCUGAGGAUGAAAGCCGGGGACCGGGCUGGAAAGUUUGGCCUCGCGCCUUUGGAGCGGCCGAUUUUGGAGUUGCUAGUUGGUGGGGUAUAGGCCUACCCGGGGGACGGUCGGUAGCUUGGCUGAGAGGCCGGCGAGCGACAGUGAGGCUGAGACGCGGCCCGGGCGCCUACGGGAGGCAGCAGUGGGGAAGUGUGGACAAGGGGGGCAAGCCUGAUCCAGCAAUGCCGCGUGGGGGAAGAAGGCCUUCGGGUUGGAAACCGCUUUUGGCGGGAACGAAACGGUGUCCGCUAAUACCGGGCGCUGAGGACGGUACCUGCAGAAGAAGCACCGGCGACUACGU
rnacentral:rRNA from 1 species